rnacentral:rRNA from 1 species
CGGCGAGUGAAGCGGCAACAGCUCAAAUUUGAAAUCUGGUCCUUUCAGGGCCCGAGUUGUAAUUUGUAGAAGAUGCUUCGAGCGUGGCACCGGUCUAAGUUCCUUGGAACAGGACGUCAUAGAGGGUGAGAAUCCCGUAUGCGACUGGCCGCCUUUGUUCAUGUGAAGCUCUUUCGACGAGUCGAGUUGUUUGGGAAUGCAGCUCAAAAUGGGUGGUAUAUUUCAUCUAAAGCUAAAUAUUGGCCAGAGACCGAUAGCGCACAAGUAGAGUGAUCGAAAGAUGAAAAGCACUUUGGAAAGAGAGUUAAACAGUACGUGAAAUUGUUGAAAGGGAAGCGCUUGCAACCAGACUUGCACGUUGCUGAUCAUCUGGGGUUCUCCCUAGUGCACUCGGUAACGUUCAGGCCAGCAUCGGUUUGGGUGGUUGGAUAAAGGCCUUGGGAAUGUAGCUCCUCUCGGGGAGUGUUAUAGCCCUCGGUGCAAUGCAGCCUACCCGGACCGAGGACCGCGCUUCGGCUAGGAUGCUGGCGUAAUGGUUGUAAGCGACCCGUCUUGAAACACGGACCAAGGAGUCUAACAUCUAUGCGAGUGUUUGGGUGUCAAACCCAUACGCGUAAUUAACGUGAACGGAGGUAAGAACCCUUAAGGGUGCAUUAUCGACCGAUCCUGAUGUCUUCGGAUGGAUUUGAGUAAGAGCAUAGCUGUUGGGACCCGAAAGAUGGUGAACUAUGCCUGAAUAGGGUGAAGCCAGAGGAAACUCUGGUGGAGGCUCGCAGCGGUUCUGACGUGCAAAUCGAUCGUCAAAUUUGGGUAUAG